CUAGGAGCUGCUACCCUAAUUCACCAUUUCCCAGAAUUGAAAUUUUCCAGGUGGAGACAAUUAUUCAAUUUCCUUCUAUGCAUGAAGGAGCCAGAGCUGUGUUUUUGACAUUCAGGUGUGCUCCACUUCAUCAGAAGGAUAGAAAGCACCAUUUCAAAGAAGCUUCCACUGGAAAAAGUUUAAUAUGGAGAAAAUUGCUCCCAGGGAGCUAUGAGACUGAGAACUGUGUUAUGAGAAGCUGUAAGAGUUGUUCUUUUGCCUGGGUAAAAUCUUGGUGCUGCUUGCAGGAUGGCGAAUUUCAAGGCCAGGAACACUGUGUUCAUGACCAUGUUAGUGCAAGUGGCAGACUCGGGCAGCUCACUACCUCCGUGCGAGCAGUUGUCAUGGGAGGACAGGAGUGUGUGUGGCACUCAGAUGUACCAGGAGCUUUCAUCAGGGGAGCAGAAUGUUUGGCACCCGAGGUUAUCACCUGCUGUGUGUCUUUCUGGGAUUGCUCAGGCUGAUGUUGUCCUUCCCAAGGUCUUUGCAUUGUACACUCAACAAGAGGCAUUUGGAUCCUCAGGAUUUUCAGUCCCUCUCUGGGCCUAAGGUGCUGCAUUCACACUUGUAAAAUAAACUUGAAGAAAGCGUUGCA
rnacentral:lncRNA from 1 species